rnacentral:rRNA from 1 species
GACAGAGCACCGGGUGCUAACGUCCGGACUCAAAAGGGAAACAACCCAGACCGCCGGCUAAGGUCCCAAAUAACAGCUAAGUGGAAAACGAAGUGGAAAGGCCGUGACAACCAGGAAGUUGGCUUAGAAGCAGCCAUCCUUCAAAGAAAGCGUAAUAGCUCACUGGUCGAGUCCUUCUGCGCGGAAGAUGUAACGGGGCUAAGCUGUUAACCGAAGCCGCGGAUGCACUGGUAAUCCAGUGCGUGGUAGGGGAGCGUUCUGUAAGUCUGCGAAGGCGGUUCGAGAGGACUGCUGGAGAUAUCAGAAGUGCGAAUGCUGACAUGAGUAACGUUAAAGCAGGUGAAAAGCCUGCUCGCCGUAAGCCCAAGGAUUCCUGCUCUACGUUCAUCGGAGCAGGGUGAGUCGGCUCCUAAGGUCAGGCCGAAAGGCGUAGCCGAUGGGAAUCAGGUUAAUAUUCCUGAACCUGCGUCAGAUGCGAUGGGGGGACGGAGCAUGGAAGAUCAUCCGGGUGUUGGAAGUCCCGGUUGUUGAGCGUAGGAGGUCUGCAGGCAAAUCCGCAGACGCAUCUCCAAGGCAAAGACACGUGCCGCCACGGCGGCGAAGUGAUCGGAAGUGCUUCCAAGAAAAGCCUCUAAGCCCCAGUCUGACGCGGACCGUACCGCAAACCGACACUGGUGGGCGAGCUGAAUAUGCUCAGGCGCUUGAGAGAACUCGGGAGAAGGAACUCGGCAAAUUGACACCGUAACUUCGGAAGAAGGUGUGCCGUAGUACCGUGAGAGGAGAGACACCUUGAGCGGGAAACGGUCUCAGAGAAUAGGUGGCUGCGACUGUUUAUUAAAAACACAGCACUCUGCAAAGUCGAAAGACGACGUAUAGGGUGUGAUGCCUGCCCGGUGCUGGAAGAUUAAUUGAUGGGGUGAGAGCCCUUGAUCGAAGUCCCAGUAAACGGCGGCCGUAACUAUAACGGUCCUAAGGUAGCGAAAUUCCUUGUCGGGUAAGUUCCGACCUGCACGAAUGGCAUAACGAUGGCCACACUGUCUCCUCCCGAGACUCAGUGAAGUUGAAAUGUUUGUGAUGAUGCAAUCUACCCGCGGCUAGACGGAAAGACCCCAUGAACCUUUACUGCAGCUUUGCAUUGAACUGUGAACCGAUUUGUGUAGGAUAGGUGGGAGGCAGAGAAGAGGCCACGCCAGUGGUCUUGGAGCCGACCUUGAAAUACCACCCUGAUUUGUUUGCGGUUCUAACCACGGACAGUGAUCCUGUCUUGGGACCGUGCAUGGUAGGCAGUUUGACUGGGGCGGUCUCCUCCUAAAGGGUAACGGAGGAGUACGAAGGUACGCUAGGUACGGUCGGAAAUCGUGCUGAUAGUGCAAUGGCAAAAGCGUGCUUGACUGCGAGAGCAACAACUCGAGCAGAUGCGAAAGCAGGUCAUAGUGAUCCGGUGGCUCUGAAUGGAAGGGCCAUCGCUCAACGGAUAAAAGGUACUCUGGGGAUAACAGGCUGAUACCGCCCAAGAGUUCAUAUCGACGGCGGUGUUUGGCACCUCGAUGUCGGCUCAUCUCAUCCUGGGGCUGUAGUCGGUCCCAAGGGUAUGGCUGUUCGCCAUUUAAAGAGGUACGUGAGCUGGGUUUAAAACGUCGUGAGACAGUUUGGUCCCUAUCUGCCGUGGGCGUUGGAAGAUUGACGGGGGCUGCUCCUAGUACGAGAGGACCGGAGUGGACGCACCUCUGGUGUACCGGUUGUCACGCCAGUGGCAUUGCCGGGUAGCUAAGUGCGGAAGAGAUAACCGCUGAAAGCAUCUAAGCGGGAAACUUGCCUGAAGAUGAGUCUUCCCGGAGGUUGAACCUCCCUCAAGAGUCGUCCGAGACCAGGACGUCGAUAGGUCAGGUGUGUAAGCGCUGUAAGGCGUUGAGCUAACUGAUACUAAUUGCUCGUGAGGCUUGAUCCU